GUCCCGUUCGUCUAGAGGCCUAGGACACCGCCCUCUCACGGCGGCAACACGGGUUCGAAUCCCGUACGGGACGCCA
rnacentral:tRNA from 34 species